AUGCCUAUAUAUUGAGUGUCUUGUGUGCUAAGAGAGCGUACAAAAACAGAAGAGAAAAAUAGAGGAGCACACACAGAGAGGAAAUACAGAGAGUUUUGAUGUGCACACAUACAGUGCCGAGGUGCACACAGUGAGGGCCGAGAGUUUGGUGAUGUUUCUGAUCCAGCGAUGAUGUUUAUUUUUUUAGUUUUCAGGUACCGAGAAUGAGCUUGGAUUGAUAGUAGCGAGCUAGGAGGAAGAGUAGGAGUUGAGGAAUUAAAUUAUUUAUUUUAGAGAUCGUUGUAUUUAUUUGAGGAAUUGAUUUCGUAUCAAUAAAGGAUAUUUUAUUUAUUUGAGAUCAUGGGUGUAUAUUGAAGAAUUUUGAUUUAAUAAAUCGAGGAUUUUAUUUAGAAAAAAAAA